UUAACUUUAAUAUGAUCUCUUAUAGACAAUAGACAUUAGCUGUAUUAAAUACAUUUUGUUGGAUUCCAGUUUUCAGAGUUAAUCCACUUUUUCUUUCACAUUCUUUAAAAGCAUCAACACAUCUUAACUCCAGUCAAUGAGUGACCAACCUAAAACCCAUCAUAUAAGCGUUUUAAUGCCAAUGCAAUAGAAUCUGAAACAAUUAUUAUUUACAUGUAGAUACAAAUAUAUAUCACAAACAAGUAUUAUUGAUAAAUGUACAAUGACCAGCUCUAUAAAAUUACAAAUAUACUUCUAUUAUAAAAAGCCAUUUCUUAAAUACUCUUCCAGCUCAAGUUUUGUAUAAAGGACGCAUAGUAUGUGAGAUGGUGUUUGUCUGUCUGACAGUGUCCCAAUACUUUUACAAAGCUUAAUUUCCUUAAUCUCCUUCCUAAUAUCCUCCCCUAGUCUCCUCCAUGACUUGUAAAAGUUUAUAAACUAGGGCUGUGUCAGAAAUAAUACCCAAUGUUAUAUAGUGCAAUAGGACAUGAGGUGCUAUUUCACAUUUGCCCAUUCUAAUUGUGUAAACGAACCUAUUUAACAUAUCCAGUACAAACAGAUCAGCUCAUGAAGGAAAGGAGAUGAGGAAGAGGAAAGGAGAUGAGGAGAUGACAAUGUCUUAUACUAUUGGGACGCAGCCUUGAGAUGAAGUUGUUCAGUACUUCUGACAGCCACUUUGACUGUCCCUGUUCACAGCACUCCUGGAGUUUGUGUGUUUGUUCGCGUGUGUGUGUGUGUGUGUGUGUGUGUGUGUGUGUGUGUGUGUGUGUGUGUGUGUGUGUGUGUUUGUUGGG
ensembl:lncRNA